rnacentral:rRNA from 1 species
AAUAGAUACCCAGGUAGUCCACGCCGUAAACGAUGAGUGCUAAGUGUUAGGGGGUUUCCGCCCCUUAGUGCUGCAGCUAACGCAUUAAGCACUCCGCCUGGGGAGUACGGUCGCAAGACUGAAACUCAAAGGAAUUGACGGGGGCCCGCACAAGCGAUGGAGCAUGUGGUUUAAUUCGAAGCAACGCGAAGAACCUUACCAGGUCUUGACAUCCCAUUGACCGCUAUGGAGACAUAGCUUUCCCUUCGGGGACAGUGGUGACAGGUGGUGCAUGGUUGUCGUCAGCUCGUGUCGUGAGAUGUUGGGUUAAGUCCCGCAACGAGCGCAACCCUUGUUCUUAGUUGCCAUCAUUUAGUUGGGCACUCUAAGGAGACUGCCGGUGACAAACCGGAGGAAGGUGGGGAUGGCGUCAAAUCAUCAUGCCCCUUAUGACCUGGGCUACACACGUGCUACAAUGGACGGUACAAACGGUUGCCAACCCGCGAGGGGAGCUAAUCCGAUAAAACCGUUCUCAGUUCGGAUUGUAGGCUGCAACUCGCCUA